UAAGGAAUAUUGCUCAAUGGGAGAAAUCCUGAAGCAGCAACGCCGCGUGGAGGAUGAAGGGUCUAUGACUUGUAAACUCCUGUAAAGAAGGAAAAAAUUCCCAUUUGAUGGGAGAUGAUGGUACUUCUGGAGUAAGCCCCGGCUAACUACGUGCCAGCAGCCGCGGUAAUACGUAGGGGGCAAGAGUUGUCCGGAUUUACUGGGUGUAAAGGGUGCUCAGGCGGAUUUGUAAGUCAGAGGUGAAAUCUUACAGCUUAACUGUGAAACUGCCUUUGAUACUGCAAGCCUAGAGUAUGGAAGAGAGUGAUGGAAUAUCUGGUGUAGCAGUGAAAUGCGUAGAUAUCAGAUAGAACACCAAUGUCGAAGGCAGUCACUUGGUCCAUUACUGACGCUAAAGCACGAAAGCGUGGGUAAC
rnacentral:rRNA from 1 species